rnacentral:rRNA from 1 species
UACGGGGGGGGCAAGCGUUGUUCGGAAUUACUGGGCGUAAAGGGCUCGUAGGUGGCCAACUAAGUCAGACGUGAAAUCCCUCGGCUUAACCGGGGAACUGCGUCUGAUACUGGAUGGCUUGAGUUUGGGAGAGGGACGCGGAAUUCCAGGUGUAGCGGUGAAAUGCGUAGAUAUCUGGAGGAACACCGGUGGCGAAGGCAGCUCACUGGGACGGUAUUGACGCUGAGACGCGAAAGCGUGGGGAGCAAACAGG